rnacentral:lncRNA from 1 species
UUAGUGAUCAUUUGCCUCUGAAACAAAUCUAGAAAAAUCUGGUUCAUCACCAUCUAUCUGGAGACAUAAGAGAUAAAAUAACGAACAGAGUAUAACAAUAAUGAAUGUAGCAGCCUUAUUAUUAUAUUCCAUUAUCUAGAGGAUAUGAGAUGUGCAUACUUAAAAUGACUACACAGAUGUAGUUCCCAUAUUUGUGAGAAGUCAGGUAUUCUGUCUUUAAGACUCAGUUAUUUCUGCGAUAACCACCGAUUCUCUCUUUUGCAGUUGAAAUUCCAACAAGGUAAAGGCUCCCUCUGUAGGAGUGUGACUGAAAAUGCUCCUGGGCAACAGAAAAGCAACAGAAGAAAAUGUUUUAUAAAGCAAUGUGUUUUCCUAGAGACUUAACAUUUCCUUUUUAAAGUAGGAAACAUUUUAUGCAUUACCUAUACUAAAGAAAGAAGCAUUAGGACUGAUAUGUAUGCAGCUAUAGCUCCAGUGCUUUCUAACCUGUCAGAGACUAAAUAUUAUGUAUGGGGCACAAAAGAAGUUGAGACUGAAUAAGCUGCAAAUAACACUCUCUGCUUUAGGUAACAUUUAUGAGAAGUUUGCUGAAGAACAUCCUCUGAUGAAUAAGGUGAAGUGAAAAAUGAAUUGCAGGUAUCUCUGUAAUAGAAUGAAACAUGAUUUCAGCCAAAGGAUCUUUAUGGAGACAAGAAAAUUCAAAGAGGAACAUGCUUGCAAAGUAUCCUCGUAACCUGUGCUUUUAUAAAGUUUACCACAAUCCAGAUUCAUUAUCUGUCCCACUGGGUAGAACACUUAAAGAAAAAAAAAGUGCUUUAUCAUGAGGCCCUGAGCAAAUACAAGCUGGGGCUCACUUGGAUCUCUUCCACUAGGGUGUUCCAAACAUUCUAGUCUAGUCUAGUCUAAACAGCAGUGUAGUUGCUUUGCCUCUCGCCUUAGAAAGUUGGAAUUCCCAGCACCCUCAGUUGGGGUUGCUGGAUGGUGAGCACUUUUGAAAGUCUGUCCACUUAAAAGUAUGUGACUAGAUGGCCACUGAACUCUUUUGGAAAUCUGGCCACUUAUUUAGAUGCCUAAGUAGAAGCUAUUGGGUGCUGAGCUAGGUGGAAAAUCUAGCCCUGAGUCCACAAUGAGUGCAGAUGCCAGAUUCAGCUCCAUGGUGAAGCUGAGUUUUGCAUUUAAAACCUCUUCAUAUAUAAUAAAUAUGACACAUCUCCCCCCCA